GUAAAAGUUGUGAUGAGGACAAGUAGAAGAUAAGAAAGAAUGAUAGAGAGCCGUCCCAUAGUGCUGAAAGGAUGGUCGUUGUUUCCCUUUGAAUAUCACCUCGGAGCUUUGUUAACGAACGAUGAAUGUAUCGAGUAGGUAACAACGGAAUGUCCACCGUUAAAAGGAGCCAAGUCUAUGUUUUAGACUUGAUAAGUGUCUGCUUUUCGUGAGGAAGGCGGAAAGCUGAGUGGUACCGCGAAACUCUCGUCUCUGCA
rnacentral:ncRNA from 1 species